rnacentral:rRNA from 1 species
UACGAAGGGUGCAAGCGUUACUCGGAAUUACUGGGCGUAAAGCGUGCGUAGGUGGUCUUUUAAGUCCGUUGUGAAAUCCCUGGGCUCAACCUGGGAAUGGCAGUGGAUACUGGAGGGCUAGAGUGCGGUAGAGGGUAGUGGAAUUCCCGGUGUAGCAGUGAAAUGCGUAGAGAUCGGGAGGAACACCAGUGGCGAAGGCGGCUACCUGGACCAGCACUGACACUGAGGCACGAAAGCGUGGGGAG